ACUAAACAAAAAAACAUGAACUUCCGGGAGGAAAAAAAAGAAAAGAGGAAAGAAAAACCUAAUCAUCUUUCGUUCAAAACUUAAGGUUUCUUCUUUUCCUAUACAGAUUUAGGUUUGUGGAUGAUUCAGGAAACCCUAAAACGAAUAUAACCUAAAACCAAACCUACAACCAACGCAACCAGCGGAAGAUUCAGCAAACCCUAACAAGAUAAGAGGCCUAUUGUCUUUCACUGAUUACAUAGCGCGUAAAUAGUUACCAUCUAACAGACUACAGCGAAGUAUUCUUAAACCUGUGCCAGAACAAAGGAUAGGCCAUGUGGAAAGAAGCCAAGCGGAAAUUGAUGCUGCUAUCAAUAUAGCAAAUGCUACUGAGCAUGAUACUAGCAUUAUGAAGCAGAUUAUGCGGAGUUGCCAGUGGAGGGGCUUUGCUUAGUCAAUAAAUAUAUACGAACAAUUUGCUUCCUCACUCUGGGUACCUUUAUCUUCUUUACAUUUUCUGUUUUUGUUUCGUAAGGUAUUUAAUGGAAACAUUCUAGAUUCUUCAAAUUAGAAGAACCCAUUAACUGUUUUCUCUUGGUUUGUACUUUGUGUUCUUCAGAAACAAAUUACGGACUCGCCGUAAUUACAGUUUCAGAUAAGCCUAGAAAAGAAGAAGGCUGGUGGUGUUGGUGGUCUUAAGUUGCAGUUGAAAGUUUAACUGUAGCUGACCAGCUAUACUCAACAGAGCUACUAGAGUUUGAUUCCCUGGAAGAUUUACCAUCAAUGUUGGACAUACUAAAGUUUUUUGAUUUUGGUCUACUUCACUUGGGCAUGCAGAGAUCUAUAUUCGGAAGCAUACAUCCUCAUUACUAGCUGGCAUUUGGGUGACGCGUAAGGAAAAGUUUGCAACAUGGAGUUGAAAGCAUAAAGAAUAUUUAGCAAAGAAAGAGAAGGAAGUGGUAAGAAGGUAAGAACUUUGCAUCAUAAAUCUUGGCUUAAACAUUUCUUAACGAUUCACUUGCGCAGUACUCAUAUAGUUGUUGAGCUGUUGGUUAUUAUUUAAUAGUUCACACCCUUGAAUAUUGGUCAAUGAUUUUUCCUUAGACUGUCUCAUCAGAGUUAGCCCUUGGAAGUUGUUUGGUUUGCCACCAGAAUAAUUUCUUAUCACUGACUUUGCGUGCUCCCUGAAGAGAAAGAUGCCUUUGUAGGUGCAAAUCAUACCUCUGUCGAAACAUCCCUUCGUAAACAUUUUUUUCUAGGCCUAUUAAAUGUCGUUAGGAUGACUGAUCCUCAUAUUACAUUCUAAGAUAGGCUGACUUGCAUCACUGAGAAAAUUGAUUAACGAGUAUUGGUAGUUUACUUUAGUAGCAUCACUGAGAGCUCUAUCAGUUUUUGUUUGACUUGCAUGGUUUAUAAUAUGAAGAUAGGCUGCGUAGAUUUUAAUCUGAUGUUUCUCUUCUACUUUUUAGAUGACUAACUAUAUAUUAGACCACCUUACAUUUGAGUACAAAGUAUUGAUAUCAAACCACUGCAAGGGUAAUGGCAUGGAUGACAUGGCUUACCCGCUUCUAUGAAGUGUCUCCUGAAAAUAUAAUCCAAUAAAAAAUUGGUUAUGAUUUGUGUUCACUUGGAAUUAUAACAGUUUACAUUUUUAUCUCCACCAUUCAUUUACACCGCGAUUUUUACUUAUUUUGAUUCUAGAGGUCGAGAUUCUGUUUCAUCUCGAGCAUGUCCUCUAUGCAAAUUUGCAUACUUGGUGAUCACAAGACAUUCAACUCCAUCAUACAUGUUAUAUCUAAUCUGAUACUUGUUCUAUUGAAUUUUUUGAUGUCGGGCCUUGCCUUAGUGGUGUUAGUUAAUUCACUCAUUCUAUGGGUAUCGGCAUGUAUAUCAUUUCACUGAUUCGACAAUUGGUUUGGUUUUGUGUUUUUUGAAUUCAUGUUCACCGUAAUAACCACCUUAUUUAUGGAUGUUUUGUGGCUCACAUUUUCAAGUUUAUGCUGGUGAGCCCAGGGUUGAAGAAUUGUAAGUAGCUCACAAAUUAUUAUGUAUCGGAUUAGCUAGGCUCUCAAAAAUGUAAGCAGUCUACACAAUGUCCUGUUUAUUUUGCUUCAGAAUUACUAAUCUGUACGGAUUAUUAAAUGUCAUUGUUUGCAUCCCUGCUAAAUAUUAUUGACAACCUGGUA